rnacentral:misc_RNA from 1 species
AGAGGGGUCAUAUCAAACGAGUAAAAUCUGACGAUAUCCCUGACUGAGAACAAAUAUAAAUGGAUAUGUGAUAAUAUGAGAAAAUAACGAGCCUUUCAGAACUGAGAAUCUGGAGCAGCUAGCAUGCAGGUCCUGAGGCAGUGCUGUGAACUGUGCUUCGCACCCAAUACUGUUUCCAGAUUUGUCCGCAUUUUUCCUCGAGCAGCUCUCUUUUUUCUAGUUUUACAUAUUGUUAUUCUAAUCAUCACUGGUAAGAAAUUUUCAUCUGUAAAUAUAAAUAUAUUGACAUACUCUGCCCCAGUAUAUGUUUUUGUUAAUAUUCAUAACAAAAACUCAGUGCCCAAACUACACUGUACAUUCAUUGAUCUGUUAAAGCAGAAAAAAGUUUGCCAAAAGAAAGUGUAUGUGAGACUGCAUGGUUGAUGAUGCAUUUCAUUAUUUUCAUGCCAGUCAAUGCAUCGAUCUGUAUCAGCUCCUAUUGAUUGUAUAUGCAUGAAAAAUCAAACUAAGUUUAGAACUUCCAUUUGCUCCUUGGUUUAUUGUACGUUGCCUAUAGGAAUAUAAAAAAUCGGGGAGCAGAUGGAAGUUCCAAUUUCAAUAAGAUUGAAAUAUGAACUACCAAAAUUUUCUUGAUCUUUCCUAUUGAUUUUAACGUAUGGUUUCAUUUCAGUGCUUCCAAUAUAGUACAAGACUUAUUAUUGGUUUGUUAACUCGACGUUAUUUUUUCUUGAUUAAAUUUUCUUAUAGACAUAACUUCUUUACAUUCUUUCUUUUACAUGUAUUAACAACUAAUUGCCAAACAAAGCAAGUUAGUACUAUUUAAGGUGGAAUAACACACCUCGAAAAAAUCACACAAAUUAACAAUAAAUUAUUUGAUUAUGAAAGAUAUUAUGAUAAAUAAACUGUACAUAUGUCAAAUAAGUGAAAAAUUUGCAGUUUGGGUAUAAAAAAUGAAUAUCUAUAAAAAUCAAUUCUGUAAGUAACAGCAAAAGCCCCCAAUGGAUUUGAACUCGGGAUGUAUGGAUCACAAGCCCAACACUUUAACCACCCGGCUAUGGAGUAAGGUACAUGUUGCUGUCGAUAAAAUCCUUUUCAUAUAACGAAAUGUCGUUUCGAUCAAAGGUCAGCCAUUUUUUGACAAUGUGUUAUUCCACCUUAACUGUACGUUAAGUACCAACACUGGGUUUACUUUGGAAGCUCACCUGUACUUCACUUGUACUUCUAGAUCAUCAGAAACUCACAAUCCCUCUCCAAAACACUGAACAACCAACAAAAAAUUGUAAUAAAAUUCAAAGAAAUAGUUCUUAGGUUCUGUAUAGAAUCAGUGUAGAUAUAUAUAUAUAAACUGACAAGUUGAUAACAAUUAAGCAAAUAAUUAUUCCUUACCUGUCUGAUAUACAGUUGGUCUUAUCAGGCAGUAUUAAAGUACUCACUCCCCCUCUCACAGUCAUUAUUAAGAAGAAAACUUCUAGUUUAAAUUAGUAUGAUUGAAUUUAUAUAUAUCACAGAUCUUUAAUAUAAUCUUCAAGUCCCAAUACAUGUAUAUUCAUAACCCUAGCUUCAAUAUCAGAAUCUAUUAUAAUUUCAGUGAUAAACUAUGCAAACCGCAAUGAGCCAUUAGAUACACAGAAACAUGCUGUCCCGGCUGAGGAUGAUUUGGGAUACGUGAAGCUUCCACAUCCUCAACACUCUGCUGAGGAUAAUCAGGAAAAUAAUAUGAAUCAUAAACGAAAAGGCAGAGUGAAGCGAGUUGAUGUUGUGAAGUUGGCAAAUGAAUGACCCUUGCCCAACAAGAAAUCCUGUGUAUUAUCUGUUUCAACAUUUUUUCAUACAUGUAUCCUGUUCUUUUUUUGUAAACAUAUAUAAUUAUGUAUAUCAAUGCCUUUUAUGAAAUGCAAUUAACCAUAGAUAGAUUCAAGAUUUAAACUGCUGUUGCUUUGAUCUCUUUGUAUGGUAUGAAUAUUGUUAUGUACUUUAAAACAUAUUAAUUGCACAUGAAACAGAAAUUGUAAAUAUUAAUCCUGAAUUAAAUGAGCACUGUAUCUUUUAUUCCAUUAUGAAGUUCAAUGAAUCUGCAAAUUAAAAUAAUUCAUUGU